AUGAAGGAGGCAAAACGACAGCUUUAUCAUGGUUGUACCAAGUUUUCAAGGUUCUCCUUUGUGGUAAAGCUUCUUCACUUGAAGUCAUACCAUAGGAUCCCGAAUAGUGCAUUUACUGAAAUUUUAAAGCUAUUAGCCGAAGCAUUCCCUGAACCCAAUACACUCCCAAAAUCGUAUAAGGAAGCAAAGAAUCUUCUAAAGGAAUUAGGCCUUGGGUAG
rnacentral:rRNA from 1 species